UACCAGCACCCCGAGUGGUCGGGGCGUUUAUUGGGCCUAAAGCAUCCGUAGCCGGUUCUACAAGUCUUCCGUUAAAUCCACCUGCUUAACAGAUGGGCUGCGGAAGAUACUAUGGAGCUAGGAGGCGGGAGAGGCAAGCGGUACUCGAUGGGUAGGGGUAAAAUCCGUUGAUCCAUUGAAGACCACCAGUGGCGAAGGCGGCUUGCCAGAACGCGCUCGACGGUGAGGGAUGAAAGCUGGGGGAGCGAACGGG
rnacentral:rRNA from 1 species